rnacentral:rRNA from 1 species
UGAGGAAUAUUGGUCAAUGGGCGAGAGCCUGAACCAGCCAAGUCGCGUGAGGGAAGACGGUCCUAUGGAUUGUAAACUCUUUUGCCGGGGAGCAAAGAGCGGUACGUGUACCGCGCCGAGAGUACCCGGAGAAAAAGCAUCGGCUAACUCCGUGCC